rnacentral:lncRNA from 1 species
AUGGUAGCAGUCAUUAUCAUCUGUGCUUGGCUAAUCCUUCAUAUUCACCUUCGCAUGCAUUUUGAUUGGGGAGCCUCCCCAGAUACAGGUGAUGUAAGACGAGCCAUUGGACACGUGAGCCUGAUGCCAUCCCAGACACCUGCUGUGCCCCAAAUGCGCUGGGCCAACUGGGUAUAUGUACGCAGGGCGAAGGUAGGUUCCUCUCCAAGAAGGCUCAACUACAGGGUUUCCAGGAGCCUUGAACAGAGCACAGGUGAAGAGAGGAUGGGUUAUGCAGGCGCCGGCCACACAGCUGUUCCCAGGGACCCUUUAGGAGCGCUCUAG